rnacentral:rRNA from 1 species
AGGACGAAGGCCUUCGGGUCGUAAACUCCUGUCAUGCGGGAACAAGAAAGUGAUAGUACCGCAAGAGGAAGAGGCGGCUAACUCUGUGCCAGCAGCCGCGGUAAUACAGAGGCCUCAAGCGUUGUUCGGAUUCAUUGGGCGUAAAGGGUGCGCAGGCGGCGUGGUAAGUUGAGUGUGAAAUCCCGGGGCUUAACCUCGGAACUGCACUCAAUACUACCAUGCUAGAGGAAUGUAGAGGGGAGUGGAAUUCACGGUGUAGCAGUGAAAUGCGUAGAUAUCGUGAGGAAGACCAGUUGCGAAGGCGACUCUCUGGGCAUUUCCUGACGCUCAUGCACGAAGGCCAGGGGAGCAAACGGGAUUAGAUACCCCGGUAGUCCUGGCAGUAAACGGUGCACGUUUGGUGUGGGCGGGCUCAGACCCCGUCCGUGCCGGAGCUAACGCGUUAAACGUGCCGCCUGGGAAGUACGGUCGCAAGAUUAAAACUCAAAGAAAUUGACGGGGGCCCGCACAAGCGGUGGAGUAUGUGGCUUAAUU